GACGAACGCUGGCGGCGUGCUUAACACAUGCAAGUCGAGCGGAAAGGCCCUUUCGGGGGUCCUCGAGCGGCGAACGGGUGAGUAACACGUGAGUAAUCUGCCCUUCACUUGGGGAUAACCUCCGGAAACGGUGGCUAAUACCCGAUACGACCAUUCUUCGCAUGAGGUGGUGGUGGAAAGUUUUUCGGUGGGGGAUGUGCCCGCGGCCUAUCAGCUUGUUGGUGGGGUAAUGGCCUACCAAGGCUUCGACGGGUAGCCGGCCUGAGAGGGUGACCGGCCACACUGGGACUGAGACACGGCGCAGACUCCAACGGGAGGCAGCAGUGGGGAAUAUUGGACAAUGGGCGGAAGCCUGAUCCAGCAACGCCGCGUGAGGGAUGACGGCCUUCGGGUUGUAAACCUCUUUCACCUGUGACGAAGCGAAAGUGACGGUAGCAGGAGAAGAAGCACCGGCCAACUACGUG
rnacentral:rRNA from 1 species